rnacentral:rRNA from 1 species
GAUGAACGCUGGCGGCGUGCCUAAUACAUGCAAGUCGAGCGAACGGACGAGAAGCUUGCUUUUCUGAUGUUAGCGGCGGACGGGUGAGUAACACGUGGAUAACCUACCUAUAAGACUGGGAUAACUUCGGGAAACCGUAGCUAAUACCGGAUAAUAUUUUGAACCGCAUGGUUCAAAAGUGAAAGACGGUCUUGCUGUCACUUAUAGAUGGAUCCGCGCUGCAUUAGCUAGUUGGUAAGGUAACGGCUUACCAAGGCAACGAUGCAUAGCCGACCUGAGAGGGUGAUCGGCCACACUGGAACUGAGACACGGUCCAGACUCCUACGGGAGGCAGCAGUAGGGAAUCCUCCGCAAUGGGCGAAAGCCUGACGGAGCAACGCCGCGUGAGUGAUGAAGGUCUUCGGAUCGUAAAACUCUGUUAUUAGGGAAGAACAUAUGUGUAAGUAACUGUGCACAUCUUGACGGUACCUAAUCAGAAAGCCACGGCUAACUACGUG